GACUAGCAAGUACAUGUCUUUAAUUUAAUUAAUAUGGAAAGCUCAGACCGGGGGCAUUAGCGUAAAUAUCAGCAUGUUUGGUGUCGAAAGCAUCGUAAGGCCCAAGGGUAAAUCCAAUGGGCCCGGGUCCAGUUACUGUUGGCCCAAUAGUAGUUUGGUCCAUGGACAUUAUUUGAGUAGCAUAUUUUGCAACAGUGUUUUUCAGUUCCUCCAACGAAAACAUCAGAUGCUGUAACUCUUGCAAUCCAAGUUCGUUAACGGGGAUCUCCCACCAGAAUUGGCUCUGUCUCGUUUUCCACGCUCGAUCUAGCUCUUCUCCUCGCCUUUUCUCCAUCUCUAGCUCGUUAACAAUCUGAGUGAGUUGCGCGUUGAGAUUACGAAUAUUAGCACUGCGAUGAGCCUCAACGAGUUGGUGACCACCACCACUGCGAUUAUACUCUGGUGAUGAGUUUGAAGUUACGUAAGAAUCAACGACGGAUUCAACUUGCGGGUGGCCGAACGAAAAGGCCUUGUCCGCGGGAGAGAAAACGAUGAUUGCGAUUUCUACUCCACAGAGUGUGCAGAGCUCACUCGCUUUUUUGAAGAGUCCCGAACGACGCUUCGAAAAUGUUACUUGUGUUUGCGAUUUGGCGUUCUGGAGUUGGAGAACAUAAUGCACUAUUUAUAUUUCACGUUUAAGGUGUGCCAACUCACAAACUUAACUCUCCUAUCAUAAUGCUUUAUUACUCUUUAUAAAAACUCCAGGAUUAGCAAGUUAUCAAAUCCUAAAUCUUAAUGCUUCA